rnacentral:rRNA from 1 species
AAAGGCUCCGGCGCCUCAGGAUGGGUCUGCGGCCAAUCAGGGUAGUAGUGGGUGUAACGUACCUACUAGCCUACGACGGGUACGGGUUGUGAGAGCAAGAGCCCGGAGAUGGAUUCUGAGACAUGAAUCCAGGCCCUACGGGGUGCAGCAGGCGCGAAAACUUUACAAUGCGGGCAACCGCGAUAAGGGGACCUCGAGUGCUGGGUUACAAACCUGGCUGUUGGGCUGCCUAAAAAGCAGUCUAUAGCAAGGGCCGGGCAAGACCG